CAGCCCCCGCGGCGCGCCCGGAUCGCCUGAGGGUGAGGGGAAGCGGACAGGGCUGAGGGGCAGCGGCUCCGCUGCCUUCAGCCGGCCCAGAUGAGGGGGUCCCGGCUUCUCCCGUCCUGUACCCCCUCUGGUAGCCGUGUUCCUCCCUUCAGUGGCCUCGGCUCCGUUCUGUCCCCGACCUGGGGCUGCUCAGUGUGAAAAUUGGUUAAGCACACAGCGAUGUCACCGAGUAUCAGAAACAAAAACCAUCUGUACAGUCACGUUAGCAUCAUCAGCGAUCUGGUACCGCAGACCAAAUCCUCGCCCACAACAAACCGGAUUAGCUCUGUCGAUCGCGCAGCUCUGCCAGCCCUGCGCCGAGAGCCUCAGGGCUGAACCCAGCUGGUACGGUGUUUCCGUGGCAAUUUUGCCGCAUGUUGUUUAUUCCAGAUCGCCUGCAAACAUCCCAGGGCUCUCAUCAUAUCCCAGGUUGGUUUUCUGCCCCCCAGUUUCCACAGCGAGCCGGGGUCAUGCGGGAUAAACCCAGCGCAUCCUUCUGAGCCCCUCAGCAGGCACCGUGCGCACCCUCGCUCCGCAGAACAUCUUUUGUUUUAUUAUUUAUGCAUCCUGAACCCCUUGUUCUCCUCUGCUUCUCGGGUUACCUGCUGAUAACACAGCAACUCCCAUCCUUUCGUUUCUCUCAGUAUCAACAGAAAGGCAGCGCAGCUCUACACGCAGGCACUAAUGACAUCCCCGCGCGCUGCACCAGGAGGGGAGGGUGGGUUUUGGGGCCUGAAUACUGUUUUUAAUCCUAUCUGGGCUCAAAACAGCCAAAGCGCUUUGUCCUGAAGGAGAGCAGGCGCUCUGCAAGCAGAGCACGAAGAAAGGGAGCGGACGGCCAGGUCAGAAGGAUGAAACGGGGACCACUGAGAUUAAGAAAUGGCUUUUAAAUUCUGCAGCUGUCCCUUGUGCUUCAUGUUGUCAACCUUGGGAAGGCCUGAUCAUGCACCCUCUGGCGUUGACAACACACUCAUUGGCUUCCUCGCGAGCGUAACACCCUAAAUACCCACACUUUAAAUGAAGUAUUGAAUGUGCAGCUGGAAAACCCUCUGCUCAGCCCUAAUGGAGCUGCUUUCCUCGCCGCUGCCGCAAUAUCAUCUUCCUGGUUCACAGAUUCCUUUCAGGUUUGUUAUUUUGGGGGAAAAUUUCAGUGCCUCCCACUCGCUCUGGCUUCAGCACCCCAGAGAAGCCGCUUUGAUCACCAGGCCCCUUGUAUAUCAAUGCGUGUCCUUUCCAAACCAGCAACCGAACGCAGACCUGGUUAUUUUUAAUCCUCCCCUCUAGGUAUUAAUAGCCGCGGCGCGUGCUCUGCUGAGCAGUUGUCUACCAGCCGCAUCCAUGUCCAGGAAGGAGACGGGAUGGGCCCGUUGGAGAGAACAAGAAAGGAGUAUGGAUCAGGCUUUUUAUCCAAAUUUAUCCUCUCAGUCCCAAAGCACAGGGUAAGUUGUGUAGAAAUGUGAAAAUUUGCUCCGAAAACGUUCUGCAGAGGGAGUACAUGAGAUCCUGAGUGUCUGGGAUUUCCUGAUUGUCAAUAAAAUAAGUGAUGCCUUGA